rnacentral:rRNA from 1 species
GUGGAUAGCUUGGCUUGGGCAAAAUGCGGAUCGUGGCAAGCUGCGAAAUGCUCGGGGUAGGCGCAGGCAGCCUGUAAUCCCGAGGUAAUCCGUUUAAUACGCGGGGAAUCGAAACAUCCUAUUACCCGCAGGAAGAGAGAACAAUUGUGAUUUGGUAAGUAAGGGCGACUGAAAGCCAAAAAGGGCAACCUGAAUACCCAACUGUAAGGUUGGGAAGAUGUGGGGCCGCCAACAACGCAAGUUGUUGGGCUGUGCUCGCAAGAGCACUUAAGUAACAUCCGCCGCACUAGGGGAAGCUCCUGAAAAGGGGCGCCAAAGAGGGUGAAAGCCCCGUACCCGAAAAGCAGGCGGAGAAAGGCACAAAGAGUAGCGUCCAUUGAGUAUUGGACGCAAAUAUGGCGGUAUCGAUCGCCAACCCUAAACAUACCCCAAGACCGAUAGCGAAGAAGUAGCGCGAGCGAAAGCUG